UGUAAAGGUGGCUGAGAGUAGGCGGUGGGUUGUAAUUCCAUUUAUGGGGUGUAAGUCCUCCCCUUUACA
rnacentral:tRNA from 1 species